UACGUAGGGAGCUAGCGUUGUCCGGAAUCAUUGGGCGUAAAGCGCGCGUAGGCGGCCCGGUAAGUCCGCUGUGAAAGUCAAAGGCUCAACCUUUGAAUGUCAGCGGAUACUGCCGGGCUAGAGUCCGGAAGAGGCGAGUGGAACUCCUGGUGUAGCGGUGGAAUGCGCAGAUAUCAGGAAGAACACCAACGGCGAAGGCAGCUCGCUGGGACGUUACUGACGCUGAGACGCGAAAGCGUGGGGAGCAAACAGG
rnacentral:rRNA from 1 species